CUCUAUGGCCAUGCCACCCUGAACAAACCCAAUCCCGUCUGAUCUUGGAAGCUAAGCAGGGUGGGGCCUGGUUAGUACUUGGAUGGGAGACCACCUAGGAAGACCUGGUGCUGCAGGCG
rnacentral:rRNA from 1 species